UACGUAGGGUGCGAGCGUUGUCCGGAAUUAUUGGGCGUAAAGAGCUUGUAGGCGGUUUGUCGCGUCUGCCGUGAAAAUUCGAGGCUCAACCUCGAACUUGCGGUGGGUACGGGCAGACUAGAGUGUGGUAGGGGAGACUGGAAUGCCUGGUGUAGCGGUGAAAUGCGCAGAUAUCAGGAGGAACACCGGUGGCGAAGGCGGGUCUCUGGGCAGUAACUGACGCUGAGGAGCGAAAGCGUGGGGAGCGAACAGG
rnacentral:rRNA from 1 species